AUUGAUUUUAUGCUUGCAUAAAUGAUUUUUGGAUUCGGAGCGAGUGGCGAACUGGUGAGUAACACGUGGGUAACCUGCCCCGAAGCGGGGGAUAACCUUUGGAAACAAGUGCUAAUACCGCAUAAUUAGUUGGAACCGCAUGGUUCCAACUUGAAAGAUGGCUCUGCUAUCACUUUGGGAUGGACCCGCGCCGUAUUAGUUAGUUGGUGAGAUAAAAGCCCACCAAGACGAUGAUACGUAGCCGACCUGAGAGGGUAAUCGGCCACAUUGGGACUGAGACACGGCCCAGACUCCUACGGGAGGCAGCAGUAGGGAACCUUCCACAAUGGACGAAAGUCUGAUGGAGCAACGCCGCGUGAGUGAUGAAGGUUUUCGGAUCGUAAAACUCUGUUGUUAAAGAAGAACAAGUGUUAGAGUAACUGUUAACACUUUGACGGUAUUUAACCAGAAAGCCACGGCUAACUACGUGCCAGCAGCCGCGGUAAUACGUAGGUGGCAAGCGUUGUCCGGAUUUAUUGGGCGUAAAGCGAGCGCAGGCGGUUUUGUAAGUCUGCUGUGAAAGCCCUCAGCUCAACUGAGGAAGUGCAGUGGAAACUACAAAACUUGAGUACAGAAGAGGAAAGUGGAACUCCAUGUGUAGCGGUGAAAUGCGUAGAUAUAUGGAAGAACACCAGUGGCGAAGGCGGCUUUCUGGUCUGUUACUGACGCUGAGGCUCGAAAGCAUGGGUAGCGAACAGGAUUAGAUACCCUGGUAGUCCAUGCCGUAAACGAUGAAUACUAGGUGUUGGAGGGUUUCCGCCCUUCAGUGCCGCAGCUAACGCAUUAAGUAUUCCGCCUGGGGAGUACGACCGCAAGGUUGAAACUCAAAGGAAUUGACGGGGGCCCGCACAAGUGGUGGAGCAUGUGGUUUAAUUCGAUGCUACGCGAAGAACCUUACCAGCUCUUGACAUCUUCUGCCAACCCAAGAGAUUGGGCGUUCCCUUCGGGGACAGAAUGACAGGUGGUGCAUGGUUGUCGUCAGCUCGUGUCGUGAGAUGUUGGGUUAAGUCCCGCAACGAGCGCAACCCUUAUUAUUAGUUGCCAGCAUUUAGUUGGGCACUCUAGUGAGACUGCCGGUGAUAAA
rnacentral:rRNA from 1 species